rnacentral:rRNA from 1 species
CGUAGAGAAAUCGAGUCUUAAUAGGGCGUUUAGUUGCUGGGUAUAGACCCGAAACCAGGCGAUCUAUCCAUGAGCAGGUUGAAGGUUGGGUAACACUAACUGGAGGACCGAACCCACUGUCGUUGAAAAGCCAGGGGAUGACUUGUGGAUAGGGGUGAAAGGCUAAUCAAGCCUGGUGAUAGCUGGUUCUCCCCGAAAGCUAUUUAGGUAGCGCCUCGGACGAAUACCAUAGGGGGUAGAGCACUGUUUCGGCUAGGGGGUCAUCCCGACUUACCAAACCGAUGCAAACUCCGAAUACCUAUGAGUACUAUCCGGGAGACAGACUGCGGGUGCUAACGUCCGUAGUCAAGAGGAAAACAAUCCAGA